rnacentral:tRNA from 1 species
GAGAACUUAGUUAAUCUAUAACACUACUUUGUCAAAGUAGAGUGAUGGGCUAAACCCCCAUAUUUCUCU